AUUGGGUAGGGGAGCGUUCUGUAAGCGGUUGAAGGUGUGUGGUAACGCAUGCUGGACGUAUCAGAAGUGCGAAUGCUGACAUGAGUAACGAUAAAGGGGGUGAAAAACCUCCUCGCCGGAAGACCAAGGGUUCCUGUCCAACGUUAAUCGGGGCAGGGUAAGUCGACCCCUAAGGCGAGGCCGAAAGGCGUAGUCGAUGGGAAACGGGUUAAUAUUCCCGUACUUCUUACAAUUGCGAUGGGGGGACGGAGAAGGCUAGGUGGGCCUGGCGACGGUUGUCCAGGUUCAAGUGCGUAGGCUUAAGAGUUAGGUAAAUCCGGCUCUUUUUAAGGCUGAGACACGACGUCGAGCACCUACGGGU
rnacentral:rRNA from 1 species